CCUUUCUUUGCUUUAUGUAAAAUAGAACUGAAUUGUUGUAAUUCAAAAUUCCUUAGGGUUGCAAGACCAACAAUAAACAAAGAAUAACAGCUACUGCCAUGAAAAUCAAUGUGUUGUCUAGAAAAAUAAACAGUCAAGAAGUGAACAUCUUUUUCUGUGCCCUGUGAAUUUUCCUUGGCAUGAGUUGAUCCUUUGUCAACAAUCUUUGUUUCCUAUUUGAUAUGAAUGUGCAGUGCAGUGGCCCUUAUUCAAGUAUUGAUGAAAGCAUCAAGAGACAUCAAGAAGCUUAAAGAUUUGAUGAAGACUGGAAACAAGUGACCGGGAAAUGAAAGUGACACAACAUUGUCAACCAUUAACCUAAAGACCUGAGUCUUCUAAAAUGGGGACCACAGGUGGCAUCUACUGUGGCCCAGACAUGCAUAUUACUGGAAGAUGUCUGCUAUUUUUAUAGCUGUGGCUUAGGGCUUUCACAUACUGCUAAUGAGAUGAAGCACUAUGCUUUUAGUUUCUGUAGUGAUUUUCAUAGCCAGUCGUGCAGGAAGACAUCAGUCAACAGUCAUUGCAGAUUUUGAAUUUGUUAAAGAAUCCAUCAGAACAAGCUGUGUAGGGAAACACAAGAGAUUGAGACAGAUGAAAAUAAAGAUAAAUUUGGUGAAGCCAGUAACUCACCUGUGUCCCUAUGGAUUGUGGGCCUUUUCUUGCCAGUGGAGAAUGAAAAUCUUCAAGUGUCAUCACUAGCUGUUGUUUUUGCUUUAUGUUUAACUGACAUGAUUAUUGGCACCUCAGAAGAGUAGCACUAUUUUCUCUAUUUUUGUGUGUUCCUCCCUGGCACUAGCGGGGAGGUGUAGUAGCUUUUCUCAUUGCUUGGUGUUGACUGGUGAAGAAUUAUCAUGCCAGAUUUUGAACAUCCAAACUCAGUGAUAACAUUUGAAGACUAAAUACCUUUUUUGAUGCUACUUCUUUUAAGACUAUUUUAUGAAUAGUAAUAUUGCUUAUGUAAUAGCAGUCCCUUUUUAUACUUAUGCAAUGGGCAAUUUUUGGAAUAAACUCUUAUUUUGUUACUUUACCCUGCA
rnacentral:lncRNA from 1 species